AGUAAAUAUUUCUAGAUCAGAAUCAAUCCAAUCUUCUUGGAGUAGGAACUCAGCUCAGCCGUUCAGAUUAAAGAUGGAAACAAGGAUAGCCUUAAGUGUGGCUGUAAGUGAAGUUCUUAAUGUAAACAUUAAUUAUUUGGUUUGGAGUGUCCAAGUGAGAACCUAUUUGAUUGCUCAAGAUAUAUGGGACAUUGUUCAAGCAACCGACGAAUUUCCUAAGCAAGAAGAAUGCCAUGGCUUUACAUGUGAUCCAAAUUUCAUGCCCGUAACAGAUAUGUCAUGUGAUUAGUCUGAUUACUUCCACCAAAAUUGCUUGGGAAACUUUGGAAUCAAUAUGCAGCAUCCCCAAAAGUGAUUAUUUUGAGGAGGAGGAAGAAAGUUAUGUGGGUUGGAGCAAUCAGAUGAAAACAAUUUUAAUGGAUCAUGAUCUUUGGAACAUUGUUGAAACAACCACCGAACCAAAUACACUUGCAUGGAGCAAGAAGAAUGCUUUGGCUUUAUAUUUGAUCAGGGAAUCCUGUGGGUCGGACAAAUUUUUUUUGUUAGAGAAAAUUAGUAAGGCUAAAGACGCUUGGGAUGAAAUUGCAGACUCAGGUAGCUAUUUCUCUCCUAAAGAUACACAUGUUCUAUCAUUCUAAAAUAAUAGCUUAAAGUUUGUAAAUCGAUGAUAACACUAGAGUGGUUGCCAUUGUUUCUUCAUUGUAUUCAGUGUGGUUGUGGUGG